CACGUAGGGGGCAAGCGUUGUCCGGAUUUAUUGGGCGUAAAGAGCUCGUAGGCUGUUCGGUAAGUCGGGUGUGAAACCUCCAGGCUCAACCUGGAGACGCCACCCGAUACUGUCAUGACUAGAGUCCGGUAGGGGAGCGUGGAAUUCCUGGUGUAGCGGUGAAAUGCGCAGAUAUCAGGAGGAACACCAGCGGCGAAGGCGGCGCUCUGGGCCGGUACUGACGCUGAGGAGCGAAAGCGUGGGUAGCAAACAGG
rnacentral:rRNA from 1 species